AGCAGCCGCCACGGUAAUACAGAGGGUGCGAGCGUUAAUCGGAUUUACUGGGCGUAAAGCGUGCGUAGGCGGCUAAUUGAGUCGGAUGUGAAAUCCCCGAGCUUAACUUGGGAAUUGCAUUCGAUACUGGUUAGCUAGAGUGUGGGAGAGGAUGGUAGAAUUCCAGGUGUAGCGGUGAAAUGCGUAGAGAUCUGGAGGAAUACCGAUGGCGAAGGCAGCCAUCUGGCCUAACACUGACGCUGAGGUACGAAAGCAUGGGGAGCAAACAGGAUUAGAUACCCGUGUAGUCCCUGUCUCUUAUAC
rnacentral:rRNA from 1 species